rnacentral:rRNA from 1 species
AAUGGGCGGAAGCCUGAUCCAGCCAUUCCGCGUGAGUGAAGAAGGCCUUCGGGUUGUAAAGCUCUUUCGGCAGGGAAGAAAAGGUGGUUCCUAAUACGGACUGCUACUGACGGUACCUGAAGAAGAAGCACCGGCUAACUACGUGCCAGCAGCCGCGGUAAUACGUAGGGUGCGAGCGUUAAUCGGAAUUACUGGGCGUAAAGCGUGCGCAGGCGGUUUUAUAAGACAGAUGUGAAAUCCCCGGGCUUAACCUGGGAACUGCGUUUGUGACUGUAAGACUAGAGUGUAGGAGAGGGGGGUGGAAUUCCACGUGUAGCAGUGAAAUGCGUAGAUAUGUGGAGGAACACCGAUGGCGAAGGCAGCCCCCUGGGCUAACACUGACGCUCAUGCACGAAAGCGUGGGGAGCAAA